GAGAAUAUAGCUCAAUUGGGAGAGUGCUUGCCCAGCAUCCAAAAGGCCCUGGGUUCAAUUCCCCCAAACUUCA
rnacentral:tRNA from 1 species